rnacentral:rRNA from 1 species
AUUGAACGCUGGCGGCAGGCCUAACACAUGCAAGUCGAGCGAGCGGCGGACGGGUGAGUAAUGCCUGGGAAUUGCCCAGUCGAGGGGGAUAACAGUUGGAAACGACUGCUAAUACCGAAUACGAUUUGAUGGCCCAGGUGGGAUUAGCUAGUUGGUGAGGUAAUGGCUCACCAAGGCGACGAUCCCUAGAUGGUCUGAGAGGAUGAUCAGCCACACUGGAACUGAGACACGGCCCAGACUCCUACGGGAGGCAGCAGUGGGGAAUAUUGCACAAUGGGGGAAACCCUGACGCAGCAAUGCCGCGUGUGUGAAGAGGGCCUUCGGGUUGUAAAGCACUUUCAGUGGGGAGGCGUUACCCGCAGAAGAAGGACAGGCUGACUCCGUGCCCGCAGCCGCGGUUAAUC